UGACCAUAGCACGUUGAAACACCGGUUCUCGUACGAUCACCGAAGUUAAGCAAUGUCGAGCAUGGUCAGUACCUAAAUAGGUAACUGCUUGGGAAUACCAGGUGCUGGU